ensembl:lncRNA
CUGACUUUGUGCUUUGCUCCCAUCUGUAAUGACUCUGAAUUUAUGUUUUUUGUAUCAUGUCUUGUUGUGUCUUUGUUUUGAUUUUCCAUGCCCCUCUGUGUCCUUUAAGUUUCUAUGUUCUCCCCUCUGUCUGUUGUAUUGUUCCCUUCACGUUUUCUCAUGUGCUCCUCCCCCUCAUUACCACACCUGGCCUCCUCCCUCCUCACCUGUUCCUCGUCUGUUCAUCAGCGUCUGUGUUUUUAGUCUGUGUCUUCCCUUCACUCCUUGUCCGAUCAUUGUAUUCUGUCUGUCUCUGUCUGCGUCAGCCUCCGGUCAUGCGCCUGCUCCUGUUCAUGUCAUGUCCUCCCAGUCUCCCCAUGUGAGCUCCUGGGCCCCUUCACCUGGAAAAGGUCUAAUCAUAUUUGGCUACAUCUCUGGAGAGGAUAGCGAGGACAGACGCUCAGCUGCAUUCAUUCAAAUGGAUGGAACGAUGCAACUCUCCGGUUACAUCAGCGCCUUCUGCACCCAAGGCCACUGAUCCCUCCAGUAAUUUACCUCGGCUUUUUGAAUAUGAAUAACAGUAUUAAUUUUAAUAGCACAUGCUACCACAUUCUAAAUCAUAUUAACCUCUUCCGAAUGACCUCUGAAUUUACAAUUUGCAAACUAUUUUCCAUUGGUGUCCACAAAAGAAUAGAAAAUAGAACCAUCCUAUUCAUGAGUUCUUCUUUCGUUUCUAAAAGAAAACUAUGAAGUGUACUGUUGAAGGGCCCAUCUCACUUAAUGCACAAUUUUUUAAGAUUGGAAGUGAGACAAAAAUCCCCUAGAGGAAAUAAUCCUGUCACCCCUAGACCAGCCGCAGAUAGUGACAGACCUACCAUUUUCUCUCCUCUAAAUGAAAAUGUCAACAUGUAUACAUCACGGUGGCUGACUUCACUGUUCACAUUAGUUCUCCUUCAAAGGCAAUGUCCAAUCUGCAUAAUGUAUACUGCCUCCAUCUGACUGACAGUAUUUUGCUAAAUAGAUAAAGAAUUAAUUAUUAAUCAGGUUUCAUGUACGCUGCGGCAUGUUAAUAACGCUGAAGGGAUAAUGCGACAAGCUAGAUGCUUAUUUUCUGCCCCACGAUGGGACUUAUUCAAACUUAGCGUGCCUCGGCUCUGUAUACUGUUAAAUCGAAAAUGACUAGUGGGGGAAGUGUUACAUAAAAUAAACCCACAAUCACCAGCAAAUUUUUGGUCAUGAAAACAAUCUCCAUAUAAUGACGUCAGCUGUCUUAAAGGAGCAGUUCACAUUAAACUGGACAUUAAUUGAUUUACACAAAGGAUUUUUCUCUGCCAUGGAAAAAUACACACGCACUGUUCGUGGAUUAAAUGAGAUUCCGAAUCAUUCAUGUCGAAAGCCAAGGAACAGAGAAUAUUGAGUGCCCACCGUGGCCUCUCCUCCUGAAGGACCACAGAGGCCCUAUUUCUUUAACUGAAACCCUGUUCUUCAGACCUUGACCGACUCAAAACAUAUGGCUGUGUCUAAGCUACUGUUACAUAAAUGUUGCCUCUUUUAUUCAUUCAAGAAUAACCAACUCAGUGAAAGUUGUCUGUUUCAAGGCCUUUGUGCAUAAAUCAAAUUCAAAUCUUUGCUCAACUGCCUGCUGAGGGGGUUACGCAAUCCGCUGCAACAUUUUUACUGACAGACGAAUCAUGAAUCAGGUCUCUGGUACUCUCGUUUGUCACUUUCCCCAAGACUACAGAAUCGAAAAUGAACAAAUAGUUUUAUCUUCCCUUGUAACUGUGAGCAAACACAUUGUCUCAUUGUUUUUCGAAAAGGCAGCUCUACCUCUGCAUACGUGGACACAAUUUGUCUUGUGCAUAAAGGCUGACUCUUUUUUCCAGUCAUUCAGACCUUUUCCACAUCAGAAUACUGUUCAUGAUGUUAGAUAAAUGAUGCACAUCAAGAUACAGCUGAAUGACAGGAAGUCCCAACAUGUGAAUAGUAUUCGCUGUAUUUAGGGACAGCAGCCAUUGCUAGUUGUAUUAUACAUGGAGUUCAAACUAAAGUCGGGCUCCUCUGAAUUUAAAAACUGUUGAAAAUUGUGCCUGCCAUUGGACUCGGUAUCAUUUGGCAGAGGCAUUGUUCGAAUAAUUGCCUUCAAGGUACAUUGUGUUGGAUUUAGGCAGGAUCAAUCAGCAAAAGUGGAACGCAAGGUUCAUAAUUCAGAACAUAUUUCACAUAAUUGUUUUUGUUGGAGUAUAAUCACCUGAAGUAUCUUUGUUUCCAUUAGCUUAGAAUGAGACUUUUAUAUCUACAGAGGGACCAGGUCAAGUUUUUAGCGGUCAACAUCUGGGAUGGUGAAACGAGGGAUAUUAAGUUGGUUGCAAUCUGCAACCUCAACACUAGAUGCCACUAAAUCCUGCACACUGGAUUAUUUAUCUAGUGUGUAGUUUUCAAUGUUUAAUAAUUCUGGCUUCUCGGAAUUGCUAAAUUGCUGUUUUUCUUUUUAAGUGUUUUUGUAAACUGAACAUAUUUUAUUUUGGGACAAUUGGAUGAAACAAGCAAGCUUGAAGACUGUUAGAAAUGUAAUCAUAAUAGCUGUGUCUCACUACAAACUAGAGCUGCAAAUAUGUGAUGCCUGAAUUGUGCACCUUUAGGGUAAUUAAAAAUACAUACUGUAUACUUCUCCAUGAAAGUACUACAACCUGGAUCUUACUAGGCAAAUAUAAUUCAACGUUUCUAUGUUAACUUAAUUUUGCACUCAGCCCUGACAUCAGAGAGCUAGCAAGCAGGAGUGCUCAGUUGGAUAUAACUUUACAGCAAACUCCCACGAUGCUAAGCUUCAUACAACUUAUUACUGUCCAACCUUAACCCGAGUACCAACACCAGUAGCUCAAAGAUUGAAGGUUAGAAUUGAAGGUUAAUCCAUCAUUACCGUCUUUUGCAUUGCAGUGGAUCUUCUGUGUACUUUAGUUUGGCCUCUACUCCAUUGUGAUUUGUAAUAAAUUCUGUUGAGUAGGGACUAUAAUUACAUAUCAUUUACUUUGGGAUUCUCAUUCCAGAAAUGUUUUUUUUCUCUGCAGAGCUGUACACGGACUCACUAGAGAUGGAUGCAGCACUUAGUAACCUUUCCACCUUUACACCACCCACAGCCCUAUGUUUAAUUCAGUAAGAUGCUCUCUCAUUCAUAGGGGAUGUACAGUUUGUGAGCGACAUCUCUCAGUCUCCUUCUGCAUGCCUACCACAGCAUGGACUUUCAAAGCCGUCUAAACUCCCAUAAGGCCACAGAUUUCAUGUGUGCAUCUAUUUUUCUUAUGCUAUUAUCACGAUAACUGUUCGCUCGCAGUACAAAUCAGCUUGAUGUGACGAUCCAAAUUGCUUCUGGUGUCAUUGCUCAGGCAUAUGCUUUCCCAUUAUUAUCUACAGUUAUUUUUCAAAGCAAAUGUACUGGUAGCUAGUGAGAUGACAUUAAGGACAAUUACAAAAUUGAUGUGCACGGCAGCAUUCAAAAGGGUCAUACAAGAGUUGCGAAGAUGGCUUUUUUUUCAUGCCCCAGGCUCCAAACAAAAUUAUUGAGAAAUAUUUUAUUUACUCAAAAAGAUAUGAUUCUAUUUAAUGACUCUAUUGUCAUGUAAAGGAUUUGUCAUUUGAGAAUUUUCACAUUUUGUAAUGCCCUAUUGUAUAAAUCUUGAUGCCUCUCUCUGUCUAUUACUAAUUAUGUUGUGCGGCCUGCCCUCUUCCAGGUCAACAUGGUGGACAGGAGGUCGUCUGGCUCGGGCUCCACUUGGUGAUGCCUCGUCCUGCUCGGUCGUCUCCUGGUUCCACUAACAUUGCAUAACUUGUAUCAGAUCUUCUGUUGAUGUACCUUGUAAACUGUGAAUUGUUGCUCUUUUCUGUACACGCAACAUCUAUUGCAUGUCUGUCCGUCCUGGAAGAGGGAUCCCUCCUCUGUGGCUCUUCCUGAGGUUUCUUCCAUUGUUUUUUUUUUACCCUGUUAAAAGGUUUUUUUUCCAUCAACAUGUGAAGUUUUUCCUCACUCGAAUCGAGGGUCUAAGGACAGAGGAUGUUGUUCACUGUACAGAUUGUAAAGCCCACUGAGGCAAUGUGAUUGUGAUUUUGGGCUAUAUAAAUAAAAUUGAUUUGAUUUGAUUUGAUUUGUAUACACUAUUAUCACAACACUUUUGUGUGCCCGGCUUUUCCUCUUUGAGGUGAGUUAGGGAAAAGG